GUUGUUGCAAUGCAAUCCUGCUCAGUAUGAGAGGAACUGCAGGUUCAGACAUUUGGUGCAUGUGCUUGGCUGUGGAGCCAAUGGGAUGAAGCUGUCAUCUGUGGGAUUGACUGAAUGCCUCUGAGUCAGAAUCCCCUCUAAAUGUAACAAU
rnacentral:ncRNA from 1 species